GUAACGCGUGGGAACGUACCUAUUCGGUUCGGAACAACACAGGGAAACUAUGUGCUAAUACCGGAUAAGCCCUUACGGGGAAAGAUUAUCGCCGAAAGAUCGGCCCGCGUCUGAUUAGCUAGUUGGUGAGGUAACGGCUCACCAAGGCGACGAUCAGUAGCUGGUCUGAGAGGAUGAUCAGCCACAUUGGGACUGAGACACGGCCCAAACUCCUACGGGAGGCAGCAGUGGGGAAUAUUGGACAAUGGGCGCAAGCCUGAUCCAGCCAUGCCGCGUGAGUGAUGAAGGCCCUAGGGUUGUAAAGCUCUUUUGUGCGGGAGGAUAAUGACGGUACCGCAAGAAUAAGCCCCGGCUAACUUCGUGCCAGCAGCCGCGGUAAUACGAAGGGGGCUAGCGUAGCUCGGAAUCACUGGGCGUAAAGGGUG
rnacentral:rRNA from 1 species